GGACAGGUGGGUGAGUUGGCUUAAACCACAUCCCUGCUAAGGAUGCGUAGUCGCAAGAUUACCGAGGGUUCGAAUCCCUCCUUGUCCGCCA
rnacentral:tRNA from 2 species